rnacentral:rRNA from 1 species
CAGUCGCCGCGGUAAUACGGAGGGUGCAAGCGUUAAUCGGAAUUACUGGGCGUAAAGCGCACGCAGGCGGUCUGUUAAGUCAGAUGUGAAAUCCCCGGGCUCAACCCGGGAACUGCAUUUGAAACUGGCAGGCUUGAGUCUUGUAGAGGGGGGUAGAAUUCCAGGUGUAGCGGUGAAAUGCGUAGAGAUCUGGAGGAAUACCGGUGGCGAAGGCGGCCCCCUGGACAAAGACUGACGCUCAGGUGCGAAAGCGUGGGGAGCAAACAGGAUUAGAUACCCGCGUAGUCCCUGUCUCUUAUAC